GACCACAAGUGGGGGUGUCAUGAUUUUCAACAUUCCUUCAACUCAUUUUAUCAGAUAACUGAAAGCAUGUAGGUGUUAUUAUUAAACUAAAGUACGCUACACUGUAUAAAUGUGCAGUGAUCCUGAGAAGUAACAUAUUUACAAACACUUAAGAGCAAAAACACAAACCAGCAGCAUCACUUCAACAGUCAACCACUAAGAAUGAUUACAAAUGACACGUGACCUAAGACGUUCACCUGAAAGGACUUAACGUAAAUUACGUUUUUCUCGUUUGUUCACGAGGGUAAUUUAUCGAAGGUAAAUGGAUUACGUUACAGUUUUGUUCAGCAGGAUCGUUUGUUAUGACUACUUUUAGUUUUUCUUGAUUUUCUUCAGAGGUUGUGGAGUUCUGGAAGAAGCAUUUUAUUGUCUAUGGCUGGCACCGGCACAUCAAGCACUGGCUUUUCUAAUGGUCGAAAAGCGCCGCAGUGGAAAAUGGGUUUGUUCGUGGAGGCAAAAGAGCAGUCGAGGCUUGUCAGAGGGUGUGGAGGUACCAGCCUGCAGUCGUGUGUGACACACAGUCCCAGAGAACCUCGCAGCGUGGUGUCGGCUGUGGGAGGGGUGAGUUUUUUAUGAUGCUGGCGGGAGGUCUGUAUCGGAGCUACAUGGAGAAACAGACAGCCUGACACCGACGGGGAGCUCACAUACACACGCAUUUGUGUCAAGCCGGGGGUCCUGAAGUACACACAGCCCCAGCAGAUGAGAAAGAGGAGAAGGUUAAAGAUGACUGUGAUGAAUCGCUCAGCAGAGCCUGUGUUCUGACUUUUCGUCUUUUGUUUUACACCCCCUCUGUCGUUCACCCGGCGGUUUUGGGGUGAUGACUACGAACUCAUUCCAAAAUUCUGUCAGCAUGCUAAAGAGAUGUUUGAAAAACAAGAGCUGAAACAAAUGUCAAUGGGGGUUGAUGAGAUGAGAAGUUGAUCUUUCUUAGCAUGAUUUAUUCUCAGUGGUAACUAGAUUUUAUCUGAUCACAGUUAAAGUGCGGAUAUAGAGAUUCAACUUUGAAAUACUUUGAAGUGACAAAAACAAAACAAUUAUAAUCAAUAUGAAAUGUGUACUUUUAAACGAAAUAAUGUAAAGUGCUAGUGUGGUAUUAGUGGU